rnacentral:rRNA from 1 species
AUUGAACGCUGGCGGCAGGCCUAACACAUGCAAGUCGAGCGGGGACUUCGGUCCUAGCGGCGAACGGGUGAGGAAUGCUUGGGAAUCUGCCUGGUAGAGUGGGAUAAGGUUCCGAAAGGAACGCUAAUACCGCAUACGAACUACGGGAGAAAGGGGUGGAUCUUCGGACGUCUCGCUUUGAGAAGAGACCAAGCGGGAUUAGCUAGUUGGUGAGGUAAGGGCUCACCAAAGCGACGAUCCCUAGCUGGUCCGAGAGGAUGAUCAGCCACACUGGAACUGAGACACGGUCCAGACUCCUACGGGAGGCAGAAGUGGGGAAUAUUGGACAAUGGGCGAAAGCCUGAUCCAGCCAUGCCGCGUGUGUGAAGAAGGCCUUCGGGUUGUAAAGCACUUUAAGCGAGGAGGAAGGUUCGUCACCUAAUACGUGACGGAAUUGACGUUACUCGCAGAAUAAGCACCGGCUAACUCUGUGCCAGCCGCCGCGGUAACAC